rnacentral:rRNA from 1 species
CCCUCAAAUCAGGUAGGACUACCCGCUGAACUUAAGCAUAUCA